AAACUACUUCUUGUUUAGAUUAAAUUAGAGUUCUAGUAUACUUAGGAGUUUUAUUUAGAUUUAUUUAUCUAGCCUAUAUAUAGGCCUUUGCAUUGUAUCUGAGGGGACAAUUGAUUAUUAUUCUAUUUCUCUUUUGAGUUAAUAAAUUCUCUUUGAGUUUUUUCUUUUCAAGAAUUUCUCUUGAGUUUCUUUUAGAAGAGUUUUAACAAUCUUUUUAGAUUGUGGGGAUCAUCUUCAAACUUUUUCUUGCCAAGGUUUUUUAUCUUGGAGGGGAAAUUAGAGCCGCUUGAAGGGGGUUGUGGAUUCUUCGUGUUUCCAAGGCUUCUUAGGACUUCUACACGCCACGUUCUAUCUUUCCAUUUAUCUUCUUUAUUCAUUUCCUAAAUCAUUGAUUUAUUAUUUGUUUUAAUUAUUUUAUCUAACUUGGAUUUAAUUUCGUUUCAGGUUGUGUCAAGAAAAAUCCAAGUUUCUUUCCGAACAUCUAGAGCCCUAAGUCAAAUCCGCGACUUUGACAAACUUUACGAUCCGCUUUCGCGUUCAUCCUUCUCAACCUUUAUCAGCACAUAUAUGGCGUUGUGUAAGUAAAGCAAGGGGUCUCUCAGCUGAUCAAGAUACCAAGCUGUAUUUUCCAGUUGACGGUCGAUAUAGGUUGGAUCCUCCGCUCCCAGCAGGCUACGUCGGCAAUGACCGCAUACUUUUGGAUGCCCAAACCUUAUUGUUGUUCCAUGGAACUGGUUGCCUAUAUAUGAGGCAGACUUCGGAUGGGGUCGUCCCAUAUAUAUGGGGCCAGGGAAUGUCGUCCAAGAAGGAAAAAUUUACAUACUACCAAGUCCAGUUAACGAUGGGAGUUUGUCACUGGCAACUGGUUUAGAGACCUCUCACAUAAAAGCCUUUGAAAAACUUCUUUAUGAGUUUUAAUAGUUAUCUUAUGUUACCAGUGUCUCGCGCAUAAAGCUUGGAUGUAAUGAAUGAUCAUUUGCAUUUACUUUUUUUGUGGUUGACGGAUUGUAAUGGAAAUUAAUGCAGUAUCAUUUAAUGAUUAAUUUAAGACGUUAGGUGAUUUCUUUUUCCUUGAA